rnacentral:rRNA from 1 species
CGGACGGGUGAGUAACGCGUGGGUAACCUGCCUCAUACAGGGGGAUAGCAGCUGGAAACGGCUGGUAAUACCGCAUAAGCGCACAGUACCACAUGGUACAGUGUGAAAAACUCCGGUGGUAUGAGAUGGACCCGCGUCUGAUUAGCUGGUUGGCGGGGUAACGGCCUACCAAGGCGACGAUCAGUAGCCGACCUGAGAGGGUGACCGGCCACAUUGGGACUGAGACACGGCCCAG